rnacentral:rRNA from 1 species
GACGAACGCUGGCGGCGUGCUUAACACAUGCAAGUCGAACGGAAAGGCCCCCAUCUUGGUGGGGGUGCUCGAGUGGCGAACGGGUGAGUAACACGUGGGUGAUCUGCCCUGUACUUCGGGAUAAGCUUGGGAAACUGGGUCUAAUACCGGAUAGGACCAUGGUUUAGUGUCUCAUGGUGGAAAGAUUAUUGUUUUGGUGCAGGAUGAGCUCGCGGCCUAUCAGCUUGUUGGUGGGGUAAUGGCCUACCAAGGCGUCGACGGGUAGCCGGCCUGAGAGGGUGGACGGCCACAUUGGGACUGAGAUACGGCCCAGACUCCUACGGGAGGCAGCAGUGGGGAAUAAUGCACAAUGGGCGCAAGCCUGAUGCAGCGACGCCGCGUGGGGGAUGACGGCCUUCGGGUUGUAAACUCCUUUCGUUAGGGACGAAGCCACGCUUUUUGGGAGUGGUGACGGUACCUUUGUUAAGAAGCACCGGCUAACUACGUG